UACGUAGGUAGCAAGCGUUGUUCGGAGUUACUGGGCGUAAAGAGCGCGUAGGUGGUGCCCUAAGUCUGUUGUGAAAUCUCCCGGCUUAACUGGGAGGGUGCGGUGGAAACUGGGGUGCUUGAGUGUGGGAGAGGUAAGCGGAAUUCCUGGUGUAGCGGUGAAAUGCGUAGAUAUCAGGAGGAACACCGGUGGUGUAGACGGCUUACUGGACCACGACUGACGCUGAGGCACGAAAGCGUGGGUAGCAAACAGG
rnacentral:rRNA from 1 species